AUUGAACGCUGGCGGCAUGCCUUACACAUGCAAGUCGAACGGCAGCACGGGAGCAAUCCUGGUGGCGAGUGGCGAACGGGUGAGUAAUAUAUCGGAACGUGCCCAGUCGUGGGGGAUAACGCAGCGAAAGCUGUGCUAAUACCGCAUACGAUCUACGGAUGAAAGCGGGGGAUCGCAAGACCUCGCGCGAUUGGAGCGGCCGAUAUCAGAUUAGCUAGUUGGUGGGGUAAAAGCCCACCAAGGCGACGAUCUGUAGCUGGUCUGAGAGGACGACCAGCCACACUGGAACUGAGACACGGUCCAGACUCCUACGGGAGGCAGCAGUGGGGAAUUUUGGACAAUGGGCGCAAGCCUGAUCCAGCAAUGCCGCGUGCAGGAUGAAGGCCUUCGGGUUGUAACUGCUUUUGUACGGAACGAAACGGCUCUUUCUAAUAAAGAGGGCUAAUGACGGUACCGUAAGAAUAAGCACCGGCUAACUACGUGCCAGCCGCCGCGGUAA
rnacentral:rRNA from 1 species